AUUUAAAUCCAACCUCUUUUGCGUUGUAGGUUGCCCAAAUUCCGGUGGGAUGUUAUUUGGCUUCCUUUUGGUCCAUUGAGUGGAGCCGGGCUGUGUCUCUAUCUGGAUGCACUAUUUAACGAAUCAUCCGAGGAGGUUAAAAAACUUCAAAGCUACAUGUACACUUACAAGGCCCGAUGACCCGUGUUUCAAUUGCGAAUGAUAUGAUUCACAAUUUGCACGAUCGCGAUGUAUUGUGCCGGAUUUUUACGACUUGUGUAUGAUCAAAAGCAUAGCUUCAUGUAA